CCUACGGGAGGCAGCAGUGGGGAAUAUUGGACAAUGGGCGAAAGCCUGAUCCAGCCAUGCCGCGUGUGUGAAGAAGGCCUUCGGGUUGUAAAGCACUUUCAGUGGGGAAGAAAGCCUUGGGGCUAAUACCCUCGAGGAAGGACAUCACCCACAGAAGAAGCACCGGCUAACUCCGUGCCAGCAGCCGCGGUAAUACGGAGGGUGCGAGCGUUAAUCGGAAUUACUGGGCGUAAAGCGCGCGUAGGCGGUCUGAUAAGCCGGUUGUGAAAGCCCCGGGCUCAACCUGGGAACGGCAUCCGGAACUGUCAGGCUAGAGUGCAGGAGAGGAAGGUAGAAUUCCCGGUGUAGCGGUGAAAUGCGUAGAGAUCGGGAGGAAUACCAGUGGCGAAGGCGGCCUUCUGGACUGACACUGACGCUGAGGUGCGAAAGCGUGGGUAGCAAACAGGAUUAGAUACCCCAUAGU
rnacentral:rRNA from 1 species